rnacentral:rRNA from 1 species
GAUGAACGCUGGCGGCGUGCUUAACACAUGCAAGUCGAACGAUGAAGCCCAGCUUGCUGGGUGGAUUAGUGGCGAACGGGUGAGUAACACGUGAGUAACCUGCCCCUUACUCUGUGAUAAGCCUGGGAAACUGGGUCUAAUACCGGAUAGGAGCGUCCACCGCAUGGUGGGUGUUGGAAAGAUUUAUCGGUUUUGGAUGGACUCGCGGCCUAUCAGCUUGUUGGUGAGGUAAUGGCUCACCAAGGCGACGACGGGUAGCCGGCCUGAGAGGGUGACCGGCCACACUGGGACUGAGACACGGCCCAGACUCCUACGGGAGGCAGCAGUGGGGAAUAUUGCACAAUGGGCGGAAGCCUGAUGCAGCGACGCCGCGUGAGGGAUGACGGCCUUCGGGUUGUAAACCGCUUUCAGUAGGGAAGAAGCGAAAGUGACGGUACCUGCAGAAGAAGCACCGGCUAACUACGUG